CAAUAGCGUAUGUUAAAGUUGUUGCAGUUAAAAAGCUCGUAGUUGGAUUUCUGGUGGGAGCGAUCGGUCUGGCGCUUAGCGCGAGUACUUGCAUCGUCUCCGGCCAUCCUUGGGGAGAGUCUGUCUGGCAUUAGGUUGUCGGGCAGAGGAUCCUCAUCGUUUACUGUGAAAAAAUUAGAGUGUUCAAAGCAGGCUUAUGCCGUUGAAUAUAUUAGCAUGGAAUAAUAAGAUAGGACUUUGGUACUAUUUUGUUGGUUUGCGCACCAAAGUAAUGAUUAAUAGGGACAGUUGGGGGUAUUCGUAUUCCGUUGUCAGAGGUGAAAUUCUUGGAUUUACGGAAGACGAACUACUGCGAAAGCAUUUACCAAGGAUGUUUUCAUUAA
rnacentral:rRNA from 1 species